rnacentral:tRNA from 1 species
GCCUGAGUGGCUCAGUCGGUUGAGCGUCUGACUUCGGCUCAGGUCAUGAUCUCACGGUUUGUGGGUUCGAGCCUCACGUCGGGCU